rnacentral:rRNA from 1 species
AUUGAACGCUGGCGGCAUGCCUUACACAUGCAAGUCGAACGGCAGCGGACCUUCGGGUGCCGGCGAGUGGCGAACGGGUGAGUAAUGCAUCGGAACGUACCUUUCAGUGGGGGAUAACGUAGCGAAAGUUACGCUAAUACCGCAUAUUCUGUGAGCAGGAAAGCAGGGGAUCGCAAGACCUUGCGCGGAUUGAGCGGCCGAUGUCAGAUUAGCGAGUUGGUGAGGUAAAGGCUCGCCAAGGCGUCGAUCUGUAGCGGGUCGGAGAGGAUGAUCCGCCGCACGGGGACUGAGACACGGCCAAGACUCCUACGGGAGGCAGCAGUGGGGAAUUUUGGACAAUGGGGGCAACCCUGAUCCAGCCAUGCCGCGUGAGUGAAGAAGGCCUUUGGGUUGUAAAGCUCUUUCGGCCGGGAAGAAAUCGCGCGGGCUAAUACCCUGUGUGGAUGACGGUACCGGAAUAAGAAGCACCGGCUAACUACGUGCCAGCCGCCGCAGUAACAC